AGAGGAAGUCUAUGGUAGUUGUAGUGCUCCUCGAGUGCAGCCUAGGGCAUAUAACUUGACUCAAUAGAAAAUAAAUGAGGCUCUAGACAUAGUGACAAGUAUGACAUUGUUGAGAAACCAUGUCAUAUUCUUUUUUAUUUCAAUGCCAUUCAUUCCUUCAUGCAUGAGUGUGUUCUUGAUGAUUUAAGUUUAUUCCCUACUCCAUUAUCUUCUAAAUUGUGCGUUAUGCUACCUACUCAAGAUUUGGUGUUUGUUAUUAAAAUUUGUGCAUGUGAGAUUGAGCUUUCUAAUAAAAAGUUAGCAUUGGAAUUGAUUGUAUUACAUAUGAAAGAAUUUGAUAUUAUAGUUGGAAUGGAUUUGUUAAGCAAGUAUCAAGUUCAAAUUAACUAUAGUAAGAAGCGAGUGAGUUUGUGUGUAGAAAGAGAAAUAUUUUAUUUCGAAGUUGUCAACAGUCCGUUGUCUUCUCUAAUUUUUAUAUUGCAAAUAGAUAAUGUUACGAAGAAGGGGGAUUCUAUAUUUUUGUCCUAUGUAACAAAUCUAAACAAGUUUGUUAAGGGUAUUGAAAAUUUUAUUAUGGUAAAGGAUUUUCUAAAUGUUUUUUUUUUUUAAAGAGCUAUCUCGUUUGCCUCCUAAAAGUGAGGUAGAUUUAUAUAUUGAAGUGGUAUCGGGUAAACCUCUGAUAGCAAGGACUCCUAUCUAAUUUAUGAAGAAGAAGGAUGGGCCUUAAGGAUGCACAUCGAGUAUUCAGAGAUGAAUAAAGUGACUGUGAAAAAUAAGUACCCACUUCUCAAGAUAGUGAUUUUUUAUCAAUUAGAAUGUGUAGCUAUAUUUUCCAAAUUUGACUUGCAUUUUGGUUAUCAUCAAUUGAGGUUGAUGGCUGAAAUUAUGGUGAAGAUAACCUUCAGUACCAUAUAUGGGUAGUUUGAGUUUAUAUUUUUGUCUUUUGGUGUGAAUGCACAGUUGGUAUUUAUGAACAUAAUGCAUUGAGUGUUCAAGGAGUAUCUGGAUAAAUUCAUUUUUUUUUUUGCUUAUUGAUGAUAUCCUGGUGUAUUCAAAGUUUGAAGAAGAACAUACCGUCCAUUUGAGAUUUACUUUAGAAACCUUGAGAUAGUAGAAGAUGUAUGCUUGAAUCUUGAAAUGUGAAUUUUGGUUGACUCAGAAGGCUGUGCCUUUUGAUUGAAUACCAAAAUAAGAAGUAAGUUUCCAUUAGUUGAAGGAAUGUCUAGUGUUGAACCCUAUAUUAAUUAUUUUAUAUAGAGUUGGAGGUUUUGAGAUUUAAAAUGAUGGAUCUCUGAAAGGCUUACGUGUGUUUUGUAGUAAAAAGGGAAGAUAAUUGCUUUUGCAUCUAAAUAUUUAAAGCGACAUGAGAAGAAUUAUUAGGCAUAUGUCUUGGAGUAGGCAACUUUUAUUUUUACAUUGAAAUUUUGGAGCCAACUUUGAUUCAAGUGACCGACAAAUUAGAAUGUAAUACCGAAUUUUGGGGAUACCACCUGAACAGGACUAGGAGAAUGCCUUAGCAUGAGGGAGAUAAGAAAAAAGAGGAGAAGACUCCUACUCAAUAAGGGGCCCUAGACUUAGAUAGUGGAUACCACCUGAACAGGACUAAGGGAAUGCCUAAGCAUGAGUGAGAUAAGAAAAAGGAGGAGGAGACUCUCAGUCAAUGAGGGGUCUUAAACCUCGAAAGCAGAUACCACCUGAACAGAACUAGGGAAAUGCCUCAGCAUGAAGAGGAGAGAGGGAAGA